GCGCCACCUUGUGGUCAAAAGUUAUAAUGAAAUAUCUUUAAAAUGCUAAUAACUUUUGAAAAAAUUAGACUAUUGCAAUGAAAUCAUGUCGCUAUAUUCUUUGGAUCAUGCCGAGAAAAUCGAUACCAAUUAUUCCAAAAUUGGCCAUACUUCCUGUCCGCCAUUUUUAUUAAAGUUGAAAACAUACUUUUUCGAACUCCUCCUAGACCGUAAGUCCGAUUUUCACCAAAUUUGGUUCGGAUCAUCUUCAGACCAAGCUGAUAAAAAGUUAUGGAUUUCGUGUCGAUAUACGAAACGGUUUUCGUUUAGCGCAUCAACAAAUUUGUUCGUAAGAUGCCAAAACACAUCUGAGGCUGUAUCUCAGCAAAGCUUUGACAUAUUUGCACCAAACUUUGUAUUUGCCAUUGUCACCUCACACUGACCACGCAACAUUAAUUUGGUAACAGCGCCACCUAUUGGUCAAGAAUAAUAAACCAUUCAUUAACCAUUAAUAAUUACAUUUAUAAAAAUGCUUAUAACUUUUUAUUGCAUUAGCCUAUUGCAAUGAAACUGGUCUCAAAAUAUUCCUUGGCUUAAGCCGACAACAUAGAUAUCAAAUAUGCCAGAGUACGCUGAACUUCCUGUCCGCCAUUUUGAUUUAUGUUGAAAACCUACUUUUUCAAACUCCUCAUCAACCGUUGGUCCAAUUUUCACCAAAAUCGAGACAGAUGAUCUUCAGACUGUGGUGACAAAAAGUUAUGGAUUUCAUGUUGAUAGACAAAACCGUUUUCGCAUACCACAGCGACAAAUUUCAGGCAUGAUGCCAAAAUGACACUUCAGCCUGUAUCUCUGCAAUGCUUUGGCAUACUGACACCAAACUUUGUGUGUGCCAUUGUCAAAUGACACAGAACACACCACAUCGAUUUGAUAACAGCGCCACCUAUUGGUCACACUUGAUAAGCCAAUAAAUCAUGCUACUAGAGGUUGUAUUUAUGAUUUUUCAGCCAUGUCAAUUACAAUCAUCCUAAAAUGGCUUCAAUUACUAAUUUCUGCAGUUGGUCUGAUGCUCCGUGCCAUGCUUAGCUCCUCAAUAUGCCUCUGGAGUGCUUGGCCCCGUAAUUGCUGCUUGCAGCUAUAUUUAUUAGGGGCCAAGCACCGAAGGUGCGUAGGCACCUAUUGUAUCUGUUGGCGUUAUUCUUCUUCUUCUUCUUCUUCUUCUUCUUCUUCUUCUUCUUCUUCUUCUUCUUCUUCUUCUUCUUCCGCCGCAAGUCUAUGGCAGCCCAUAGAACCGAUUGCGGGAAAGUUGUAUAAUUUGGCACACUGAUAGAGGACAGUCCCAGCAUUAACUAUAGCAAAUUUGAAGUCUCUAACUCCAACUCUCUAGCGCCACCACUUGUCCAAAAUUUCAAUAUUUUUAUGCUAAUAACUUUUGAACCGUAAGCCACAAAAUUAAAAUUCUUUUUUCCGCUGAAUCCUUGGCUCAUGCCAAGUCGAAUGAACCCCGAAAUUCAAAAAUCGCAAGGUUUAGUUUUUUCGCUAUUUUCAAUUGUUCGAAAAACCUACUUUUUCGAACUCGUCCUAGACGGUUAGUCCGAUUUUCACGAAAAUUGGCUCAGAUCAUCUUCAGACCAUGCUGGCAAAAAGUUAUGGAAUUCAAGUUG
ensembl:lncRNA